rnacentral:lncRNA from 1 species
AGAGCACUCGUUUUCAACCAGAGCCCAGAAACAGCCGUUGUCCCCUGGCAAAAGAGGCCCAGUGCUGAGCCCUGGGCAAGUGUCUCCAGACAUCCCUACCUUUCUCUCCCUUUAUUAAGUCUUCUUUCCCAACAGAACCCAUUUCCUUUGCCACUAAAACUAGGUUGCAUCCAAAAGUUUCUCACAAGCUUAAAAAAGAAAAAUUGACACCAUUAUGCAGAAGAAUUCACAAAAGCUGCAGAGCGCCAGGGCAGAGAAGCAGCGUCAGACACAGAGCCCUCUUUUUCUUUGCAGGCCCAGGACACACAGGACGGAUGUUUCCAAGUCACUCCAGGGACAGCAUGAGGCUCUCGCUGGCCUGUGUCUCAGAAGCUGCUUUCUCCACCUCUUCCUUGUGAAUUUCCUAAACUCUCUACCUCUGGUUCAUGUUCGCUCUUCUGGAUAGUCUGUGUGCAAUGAGCCCUUAAAGGAAUAUUGCAAUGAGCUAUAAGAGUUGUGAGCCUGCGGUAGGCAAGGCCUGCACUGGGACAGCAAAGGAAAUUUCAUUGCAUCUGCUCCUAAGUCACAGGUUAUCCAGAGCCCACUUUACCCCAAGAGACAGCCUCUCCCCCAUCCCUAGGAAACAGUAGAGCUUAGGAAAAUGAAUGACUCCACCACAUUCAAGAGGCUUCAAAUUGUAUACUUGGCAUUUCUGAUUUCAGUUCUGAAAUUCUGUCCCUUAGUCGUGGGGAAAAUAAGAAAUGGAGUUACACCUUGUCAUUUAAAAAACCAUUGAAUUAAGAGAAAUGGAAAAUCAUGCCCACAUAAAACAUGUAUGGAAGUGUUCAUGUUUUGAUCAUGGCGGGGGAUAUAGCUCAGUCAUGGAGUGCUUGCAUAGCAAUGUGCAUAAUCCGAGGUUCAAGCCCCAGCACCGAAAAAGAGAAGCGGGAGGAGUGGAGGCAUUCACAGCAGCGUUUUCAGUAUAGGCGCAAAGGGGAAGGAGUUUAAACACCUACUGAGGAAUGGAUAAGCGGAGUGCCUUGUCUAUACUCGGGAUGCUAGUCAUCAGUAGAAAAGUUUGAAAUGAUAGAUACGAUGGAUGAUCCCUUAAACAUCUCCCUAAGUAACGAGGUCAGCCUAGGAAGGCGUAUGUUCCAUAUUUCUGGGAUAUAUGGGCUCACCGAUGCAGAAAAAAGUACAGCCUGGUAUCCUGGAUUGGAGACACGGACUGGACUUUGGAAGACAACAGAAUGGAACAGAAUUUACUUGAGUGGCGAUGUUCUUGAAUGAACGGAAGUCAUGCUUGCCCACUUGAUGACUGCAUUUACAAACCACUGAAUUUUACUUUUAGUGGGUGAAUUGCAUGGUACCUUCAUUUUAAUCUCAAUAAAGCUGCGAGUAUUUUUAAGAGAUUUCUAA